GAUGAAAGGUUUAUUGCCUCAAGAGGAGCUCGCGUCUGAUUAGCUUGUAGGUGUGAUAAAAGCGCACCUAGGCGACGAUCAGUAGCUGGUUUGAGAGGAUGAGCAGCCACACUGGGAGUGAGACACGGCCCAGACUCCUUCGGGGGGGAGCAGUGGGGGAUUUUUUUCAAUGGGCGAAAGCCUGACGGAGCAAGACCGCGUGGGGGGGGAAGGCCUCUGGGUUGUAAACCCCCCUUUUUAGGGAAGAAGACAGUGACGGUACCUAACGAAUCAGCCUCGGCUAACUCCCUCCCAGCAGCCGCGGUAAUACGGAGGAGGCGAGCGUUAUCCGGAAUUAUUGGGCGUAAAGCGUCCGUAGGUGGCCCGCCAAGUCUGCUGUCAAAGACCACAGCUCAACUGUGGAAAGGCAGUGGAAACUGCAAGGCUAGAGU
rnacentral:rRNA from 1 species